GACGAACGCUGGCGGCGUGCUUAACACAUGCAAGUCGAACGGAGUUGCGACCGGGUGAGUAACACAUGGGUGCCCUGCCCUGCACUUCGGGAUAAGCCUGGGAACCUGGGUCUAAUACCGGAUAGUGUGGGGGGUGCCCGCGGCCGAUCAGCAUGUGGGUGGGGUAAUGGCCGACCAAGGCGGCGACGGGUAGCCGGCCUGAGAGGGUGGACGGCCACAUUGGGACUGAGACACGGCCCAGACUCCUACGGGAGGCAGCAGUGGGGAAUAUUGCACAAUGGGCGGAAGCCGGAUGCAGCAACGCCGCGUGGGGGAUGACGGCCUUCGGGUUGUAAACUCCUUUCACCAUCGACGCGGUAGAUGGAGAAGAAGCACCGGCUAACUACGGGCCAGCAGCCGCGGUAAUUC
rnacentral:rRNA from 1 species